UGGCUCCUCCACUUCUUGGAGUAGAUCAGUGGGCAGCUCUUGCAUUUCCUGGUGGGGGCCACUGGAUGGCUCCUCCACUUCUUGGAGUAGAUUA
rnacentral:pre_miRNA from 7 species